rnacentral:tRNA from 2 species
GGAAUUGUGGCUCAGAGGUAGAGCGCUUGCCUAGCAUGCAUGAGGCACUGGGUUUGAUCCUCAGCACCA